GACGAACGCUGGCGGCGUGCUUAACACAUGCAAGUCGAACGAUGAACUACCAGCUUGCUGGUGGGGAUUAGUGGCGAACGGGUGAGUAACACGUGAGUAACCUGCCCUGGACUCUGGGAUAACCCCGAGAAAUCGGAGCUAAUACCGGAUAGGACCUUUCCCUGCAUGGGGUUUGGUGGAAAGUUUCUCGGUCUGGGAUGGACUCGCGGCCUAUCAGCUUGUUGGUGAGGUAAGGGCUCACCAAGGCGUCGACGGGUGGCCGGCCUGAGUGGGUGACCGGCCACACGGGGACUGAGACACGGCCCAGACUCCUACGGGAGGCAGCAGUGGGGAAUAUUGCACAAUGGGCGCAAGCCUGAUGCAGCAACGCCGCGUGCGGGAUGACGGCCUUCGGGUUGUAAACCGCUUUUAGUAGGGAAGAAGGGCUUCGGCUUGACGGUACCUGCAGAAAAAGGACCGGCUAACUACGUGCCAGCCGCCGCAGUAAAAC
rnacentral:rRNA from 1 species